UUGCAGAGGAAGUUUCUCUGGCAGUCAGCCUGCUCCCUCUACUUGUCUCUGUUGGUGGAGACUGAACACAAAGUGCAGUGACUCAGAAGCCUUUGAGAGGGUGACUGGGGGCCUGGCCACCGCAAGGCACAGAGGCAGCGAGAUGGAACGACCCAAAACGACAGUGUGCUGGGGAAAGAAGAAAUCAAGGCAGAAGGAAGAAGAAAAUGAACUUCAAGAAAUUCUGCCCAGUGAGCCUCAACAGCCCAAAGACCGUUUUUCAAAAUUCAGUGGGUGGCUUAUGAAAGUCCCCAGGAAAAGAAAACCAGACACUGCUAUUCAUCAGAAAGAAACUCCCAAAGGUGACACAGUGCAAAGCCUACCAGUCUCCUGCAACCAUAGUAAGAAAUCUGUGGCCUUCCGAUCUGACUGGCUACAUAGACCCCUGUUCCCAAAGCUUCUUCAAACUGGCCGCCUUGGCCUCUUGCUGGUUCCCCUGAUGGAUUUCCAAAAGUUGGUACAGAAGGGGCAGUUCCUGGAAGCCUGCCAGAGCAUCUCGGAGUUGUCACAGGAAGGGCAGGACUGUGGUCUCCAGUACAAGGUUGUGGCUGAGAGCAUGUGGCAGGUCAUCAAGGAGGCUCUGGGAGGCAUUGGGUACAGCCAGAAGCUGGAGCUAAAGCUCCAGGCAGUGGUGGCCACUGUGGAGUGGGUGGAGGACAACCCCCAGAGCUGGGAGGCCAGCGCCCUCGAGGAUGGUGGAGUUGCUUUCUGGGGAAGUCAUCUGGAGAGGCUCCUGAGAACAGAUGCUGAGGACCAAUUGCCCACUAUGAAGCCAAGCACCCAGCUGCGCCCGUACCUGAAGGAGCUGGACAAAGCUGUGGGACACAGCCUAGGGUCCCAGAGGGCAGGCCGGAUGGGGGCCCCCCUCUGGGAAAUCUACAGGACGUGUUUCCAGGAGGUCCUCCUCAGCCGCCUCUCCGAGCUCCCUUCCUCCUACAGUCACGACAGGGAAGCCUACUUUGAGCUGUACAACUGGGGCAAGACGACCUUGUUUGGGCAGCUGGGCAGGGAGAUGCUUCAGAGAGUAGGUCCCACCUCCCAGAAGUCCAUGGCCGGGAACCUCUUGGACUCAAUGAUGUUCAUUACCUGGAUAUUCCAAAUGCAGGAGAAGCUGGUGGGGCUGAUCCAGGAGGAGUUGAAAAAGUGUCUAGAAAAUGUUCUGAUCUGUGAUCAGAAAAAGUGGACCGAGUCUGCCUCCUCAGUGUUCCUUGAAAUCUACCAGCUACUGAAAGAAGCUGUAGAUGCAGUCCGACACAUUGGGCCAUCCGUCACCAGACGGGUUCAAGCCAUGGUUCUGGAAACAUUUUCAAAGUUUCUGGAAAGCUACAAGGAUAAGGCUGAAGUCUUCAUCCAGCAGAACGCCAGUGACCACACCUUUCCCGAGCUGCAUGUGCUGGAAAACUGCUGCAUCCUCAGGAAGACAUGGUGGUGGCUGAGCAGGGCGCACGUUCCCUGGGCACGCUUGGACCCAGCUGUGCAAGGUGCCAUCAAAGGCAUUGAGGACCAUGGCCGGGACCACCUCCUGCCUCGAGUCAGAGCCCUGUGCCAGAGUCUGCUGAGUUGUCACUUCGGAGAGAAGAACAAGGAUCUGGUCCAAUCUCUGCGGUCCCUGUGGCAGAGCCUGGAGCACUGCCCCAACAUGCACCCUACUCCCACAUACGAGAGCCUUGUGAGGAGUCUGAAUAUGGUGGUCUUUGGGGAGUACGUCCAGGCCCUGGCUGCUUAUCUCAGGAGGCUGGUGCCCAGGACUUCGGGGCACCUCCGUGAUCAGGUGGAAACGGACAUCUGGAAGCUGGGCACCACCUUUAGGGAGCACAGGGGCCCGGCUUUGGACAAUCUACAGGAGUACAUCCUCCAGCUCAGUGAGAGCAGAGACAGACAGACUGUGGAUCAGCGGCUGGCCUCCUUCAGUGACAGUUUCCCUGGUUAUCUGAGACAGGGCAGAUCCACGGCUGUGGAGGAGGAGACUGCGAUCAGGGGACGCUCCUCAUUCUGCUGCAGACUUCUCCAGAACUUAAGGCGACUAGGGGCCUGCUGGCACCGUUGCUGCCCUAGCAGACGUGGAUGUGAGCUCUAGUUUCAGGAAUCUGCUUGUUCUUGGGGCUGUGGGAGUUACGUGGCCCCGGUACCCAGCUAAAGCUAAGGAUCUGGGCGCCCCUGGCCACUGGAUGGCCACUUCACAAAUGGCAGCCUGAUAUCUAGAAGAAAGCCGAUCCUUCUCAAUUCUGGAUUCUUCAAUCAGAAAGAACUCUGAGAACUGACUGCAGCUAUCACAGACACCGGGCGAUGAAAGGCCGGCACAGUCAGUGAUCAACCCAGAAGAACGGGAAGGCAACAGGGAUGGCCAAGGACAGAUUAAGACACUCCUGGCUUGGAACGUGGUGGGAAGGAAGACACCCUGGAGGGAGAGUGAGGACGAGAGGGGCUAAGAAGAAAGCUAGAGCCCAAAGGAAGUUCCUCCCCAUCCUGGCUGCAUCGUGUGCCUUUCUUGUGCAUGUAACAACUUUAUUGAGAUACAGGUUACAUGCCACGCAAGUCACUCACUUAACUUUAAUGCACCAUUUGAUGGCUUUUGGUAUAUUCGCAGACUCGUGCAGCCACACCACAAUAAAUUCUAGAACAUUUUCA
rnacentral:lncRNA from 1 species